AGUGGGGAAUAUUGGACAAUGGGCGAAAGCCUGAUCCAGCCAUGCCGCGUGGAUGAUGAAGGCCCUAGGGUUGUAAAGUCCUUUCGACGGGGAAGAUAAUGACGGUACCCGUAGAAGAAGCCCCGGCUAACUUCGUGCCAGCAGCCGCGGUAAUACGAAGGGGGCUAGCGUUGCUCGGAAUCACUGGGCGUAAAGCGCACGUAGGCGGCUUGUUAAGUCGGGGGUGAAAUCCUGGAGCUCAACUCCAGAACUGCCCUCGAUACUGAUGAGCUCGAGUCCGGGAGAGGUGAGUGGAACUGCGAGUGUAGAGGUGAAAUUCGUAGAUAUUCGCAAGAACACCAGUGGCGAAGGCGGCUCACUGGCCCGGUACUGACGCUGAGGUGCGAAAGCGUGGGGAGCAAA
rnacentral:rRNA from 1 species